UAGCUCACUGGUCGAGUCGGCCUGCGCGGAAGAUGUAACGGGGCUAAACCAUGCACCGAAGCUGCGGCAGCGACACUAUGUGUUGUUGGGUAGGGGAGCGUUCUGUAAGCCUGUGAAGGUGUACUGUGAGGUAUGCUGGAGGUAUCAGAAGUGCGAAUGCUGACAUAAGUAACGAUAAAGCGGGUGAAAAGCCCGCUCGCCGGAAGACC
rnacentral:rRNA from 1 species